CGCAACGGAAAUUUAACAGAAAGGGUUACAGAGAAAAAGAAAAGUCAAAAGAAACCACAAAGAGAAUAAAAGCCACUUAAGAGAAAUUCAUAAUCAGGAAAGGAAUGUGCUUUCACAGAAAGGGUACAGAGAGGAAGAUAGCACAAAGGGAAUACCCCAAUAACAAAAAUCAGGGAAUUUUCCUGGUACGAAACAAUGAAUGUUUACAGAAAUGGCAAGACCGAGAGAGAGAGAGAGAGAGUAGGUCAAAAACACCAUACUGAAGAAGAGAGAGGGAGUUUGAGAAGCAAUAUAAUUGCUACAGAUUCCAAUAGGGAGGAUCAAAAAGAGGUAUAUCACCGAGAAAGAGAGUAGAGCGAGAGAGAGAGAAAGGCCAUUCUAGAGAGAGAGAGAGAGAGAGAGAGAGAGAUACCGCAUAUUUGAUGGGUGCCUCAAGCUCGAGGAGGUUGGGCUGUUGCAUGAAAUGUCGUUUGGAGACGACACAGAGCUGACGGAUCUCGGACUCAGAGAGCUGGACCUGCUUUCCUGACCUUGUUCCUCUCACCUCAGAAGCCUAGCAAUGAUAUCAUCGACGUANNNNNNNNNNNNNNNNNNNNGAGAGAGAGAGAGAGAGAGAAGAGAGAGAGAGAGAGAGAGAGAGAGAGAGAGAGAGAGAGAUACCGCAUAUUUUGAUGGGUGCCUCAAGCUCGAGGAGGUUGGGCUGUUGCAUGAAAAUGUCUUUGGAGACGACACAGAGCUGACGGAUCUCGGACUCAGAGAGCUGGACCU
rnacentral:lncRNA from 1 species